rnacentral:rRNA from 1 species
CUCGUAGGUGGCCAACUAAGUCGGACGUGAAAUCCCUCGGCUUAACCGGGGAGCUGCGUCCGAUACUGGUUGGCUUGAGUUUGGGAGAGGGAUGCGGAAUUCCAGGUGUAGCGGUGAAAUGCGUAGAUAUCUGGAGGAACACCGGUGGCGAAGGCGGCAUCCUGGACCAAUACUGACGCUGAGGAGCGAAAGCCAGGGGAGCAAACG